AGAUCAUUACUGAGUGUAAAAAACUCCAAACCCUUUGUGAACAUACCUCUGUUGCCUCGGCGGGAUACCCCAACUACCCUGUAAGACUGCCGGGUAGGGGUCGACCCCGCCGGUGGUGUUCUUAUAAUUCUUGCAAUCCAGUGGACCUCUGAGUUAGUAUCGAAAUAAGUUAAAACUUUCAACAACGGAUCUCUUGGUUCUGGCAUCGAUGAAGAACGCAGCGAAAUGCGAUAAGUAAUGUGAAUUGCAGAAUUCAGUGAAUCAUCGAAUCUUUGAACGCACAUUGCGCCCAUUAGUAUUCUAGUGGGCAUGCCUGUUCGAGCGUCAUUUCAACCCUUAAGCCCUGUUGCUUAGUGUUGGGGGCUUACCGCCGGGUAACCCCCUAAAGUCAGUUGGCAGGCUCGCUAGACGUCCUGAGUGUAGUAAACAUUCUCGCUUCUGCGGCUCUAGCGGUUCUCGCCACAAGCCUAUUAUCAUUUUAGUGGUUGACCUCGGAUCAGGUAGGAAUACCCGCUGAACUUAAGCAUAUCAAUAAGCGGAGGAAAAGAAACCAACAGGGAUUGCCCUAGUAACGGCGAGUGAAGCGGCAACAGCUCAAAUUUGAAAUCUGGCCUUCUGGUCCGAAUUGUAAUUUGUAGAGGAAACUUUUGGUGCGGCGCCUUCCGAGUUCCCUGGAACGGGACGCCUUAGAGGGUGAGAGCCCCGUACGGUUGGACGCCUAUCCUCUGUAAAGUUCCUUCGACGAGUCGAGUAGUUUGGGAAUGCUGCUCUAAAUGGGAGGUAUAUUUCUUCUAAAGCUAAAUACCGGCCAGAGACCGAUAGCGCACAAGUAGAGUGAUCGAAAGAUGAAAAGCACUUUGAAAAGAGGGUUAAAUAGCACGUGAAAUUGUUGAAAGGGAAGCGCUUAUGACCAGACUUUUUCCAGGCGGAUCAGCCGGUGUUCUCACCGGUGCACUUCGCCUGGUCUAGGCCAGCGUCGAUUUCCGCAGGGGGACAAAGGCUUCGGGAAUGUGACUCCUCCC
rnacentral:rRNA from 1 species